UACGUAGGGUGCAAGCGUUAAUCGGAAUUACUGGGCGUAAAGCGUGCGCAGGCGGUUUUGUAAGACAGAUGUGAAAUCCCCGGGCUCAACCUGGGAACUGCGUUUGUGACUGCAAGACUCGAGUGCGGGAGAGGGGGGUGGAAUUCCACGUGUAGCAGUGAAAUGCGUAGAGAUGUGGAGGAACACCGAUGGCGAAGGCAGCCCCCUGGGUCGACACUGACGCUCAUGCACGAAAGCGUGGGGAGCAAACAGG
rnacentral:rRNA from 1 species